rnacentral:lncRNA from 10 species
CUCUCCUUGGGGUCGGGAGCAGGGCAGGGGAGAGGCCUGCAAGCUGGCGCCUUUGCUGAGAUUGUCAUAAACCUUCCGCGCGUUUCACGGAGGGCCCACGGCGGGCUGUGAGCUCUGGAGGAAGCUAAAGGGGCAGAAGGCAUUUCGGGGGCCCUGGCUCUGAACUCACUUGUAGGCAUGGAAGGCCUCCAAGCUAGCGUGGAAAACCUCGAACUGUUUAAAAAUGCUCCCCCGGCACACGGAUGGAAGUGGAGGUCAUUAUCUUAAGUGAAGCCAGGCCCAGAAAGACAAGUAUCGCAUGUUCCCACUCCUAAGUGGGUGCUUAAGAAUGUGUUCACAUGGAUGUGGAGAGUGGAACGUCAGAUGAUG